rnacentral:rRNA from 1 species
AGAGUUUGAUCCUGGCUCAGGAUGAACGCUAGCUACAGGCUUAACACAUGCAAGUCGAGGGGAAACGACAUCGAAAGCUUGCUUUUGAUGGGCGUCGACCGGCGCACGGGUGAGUAACGCGUAUCCAACCUGCCCACCACUUGGGGAUAACCUUGCGAAAGUAAGACUAAUACCCAAUGACGUCUCUAGAAGACAUCUGGAAAGAGAUUAAAGAUUUAAUCGGUGAUGGAUGGGGAUGCGUCUGAUUAGCUUGUUGGCGGGGUAACGGCCACCAAGGCGACGAUCAGUAGGGGUUCUGAGAGGAAGGUCCCCCANAUUGGAACUGAGACACGGUCCAAACUCCGUACGGGAGGCA